GAUGAACGCUGGCGGCGUGCCUAAUACAUGCAAGUCGAGCGAACAGACGAGGAGCUUGCUUCUCUGACGUUAGCGGCGGACGGGUGAGUAACACGUGGAUAACCUACCUAUAAGACUGGGAUAACUUCGGGAAACCGGAGCUAAUACCGGAUAAUAUAUUGAACCGCAUGGUUCAAUAGUGAAAGACGGUUUUGCUGUCACUUAUAGAUGGAUCCGCGCUGCAUUAGCUAGUUGGUAAGGUAACGGCUUACCAAGGCGACGAUGCGUAGCCGACCUGAGAGGGUGAUCGGCCACACUGGAACUGAGACACGGUCCAGACUCCUACGGGAGGCAGCAGUAGGGAAUCUUCCGCAAUGGGCGAAAGCCUGACGGAGCAACGCCGCGUGAGUGAUGAAGGUCUUCGGAUCGUAAAACUCUGUUAUUAGGGAAGAACAAAUGUGUAAGUAACUGUGCACAUCUUGACGGUACCUAAUCAGAAAGCCACGGCUAACUACGUG
rnacentral:rRNA from 1 species